rnacentral:misc_RNA from 1 species
GAUGAAGAACGUAGCGAAAUGCGAUAAGUAAUGUGAAUUGCAGAAUUCAGUGAACCAUCGAAUCUUUGAAUGCACAUUGCGCCCGGCAGUAAUCUGCCGGGCAUGCCUGUCCGAGCGUCAUUUCUGCCCUCGAGCGAGUCCAGCAUCUAGGUGCUGGGCCCGCCCGGCGUUGGGGCACUACGGGAAGCCCUGUGCUGUCCCCCGUAGGCCCCGAAAUGAAGUGGCGGUCCUGCCGCGGCGCCCCCUGCGUAGUAUAACAGCUCGCUUCGGGACCCGGUGGAGGCCUGCCGUCAAACCUUACUCUCUAAGUUUGACCUCGGAUCAGGUAGGGUUACCCGCUGAACUUAAGCAUAUCAAUAAGCGGAGGA